UUGGUUGAAACCAAAAAGAGGUAUAUCACUGUUAAUGAUAAAAAUGAACCACAAUAUUCCAACCAAG
rnacentral:tRNA from 1 species